rnacentral:tRNA from 1 species
GGCUGGAUAGCUCAGUUGGUAGAGCACAGGUACGGUAUUCCGGAGGCCGCAGGUUCAAACCCUGCUCCAGUCA